GACGAACGCUGGCGGCGUGCUUAACACAUGCAAGUCGAACGGAAAGGCCCUGCUUUUGUGGGGUGCUCGAGUGGCGAACGGGUGAGUAACACGUGAGUAACCUGCCCUUGACUUUGGGAUAACUUCAGGAAACUGGGGCUAAUACCGGAUAGGAGCUCCUGCUGCAUGGUGGGGGUUGGAAAGUUUCGGCGGUUGGGGAUGGACUCGCGGCUUAUCAGCUUGUUGGUGGGGUAGUGGCUUACCAAGGCUUUGACGGGUAGCCGGCCUGAGAGGGUGACCGGCGACAUGGGGACUGAGAGACGGCCCAGACUCCUACGGGAGGCAGCAGUGGGGAAUAUUGCACAAUGGGCGGAAGCCUGAUGCAGCAACGCCGCGUGCGGGAUGACGGCCUUCGGGUUGUAAACCGCUUUCGCCUGUGACGAAGCGUGAGUGACGGUAAUGGGUAAAGAAGCACCGGCUAACUACGUG
rnacentral:rRNA from 1 species